rnacentral:rRNA from 2 species
UUUAUAUGAGAGUUUGAUCCUGGCUCAGGAUGAACGCUGGCGGUGUGCCUAAUACAUGCAAGUCGAACGCGUUGGCCCAAUUGAUUGAUGGUGCUUGCACCUGAUUGAUUUUGGUCGCCAACGAGUGGCGGACGGGUGAGUAACACGUAGGUAACCUGCCCAGAAGCGGGGGACAACAUUUGGAAACAGAUGCUAAUACCGCAUAACAGCGUUGUUCGCAUGAACAACACUUAAAAGAUGGCUUCUCGCUAUCACUUCUGGAUGGACCUGCGGUGCAUUAGCUUGUUGGUGGGGUAACGGCCUACCAAGGCGAUGAUGCAUAGCCGAGUUGAGAGACUGAUCGGCCACAAUGGGACUGAGACACGGCCCAUACUCCUACGGGAGGCAGCAGUAGGGAAUCUUCCACAAUGGGCGCAAGCCUGAUGGAGCAACACCGCGUGAGUGAAGAAGGGUUUCGGCUCGUAAAGCUCUGUUGUUAAAGAAGAACACGUAUGAGAGUAACUGUUCAUACGUUGACGGUAUUUAACCAGAAAGUCACGGCUAACUACGUGCCAGCAGCCGCGGUAAUACGUAGGUGGCAAGCGUUAUCCGGAUUUAUUGGGCGUAAAGAGAGUGCAGGCGGUUUUCUAAGUCUGAUGUGAAAGCCUUCGGCUUAACCGGAGAAGUGCAUCGGAAACUGGAUAACUUGAGUGCAGAAGAGGGUAGUGGAACUCCAUGUGUAGCGGUGGAAUGCGUAGAUAUAUGGAAGAACACCAGUGGCGAAGGCGGCUACCUGGUCUGCAACUGACGCUGAGACUCGAAAGCAUGGGUAGCGAACAGGAUUAGAUACCCUGGUAGUCCAUGCCGUAAACGAUGAGUGCUAGGUGUUGGAGGGUUUCCGCCCUUCAGUGCCGGAGCUAACGCAUUAAGCACUCCGCCUGGGGAGUACGACCGCAAGGUUGAAACUCAAAGGAAUUGACGGGGGCCCGCACAAGCGGUGGAGCAUGUGGUUUAAUUCGAAGCUACGCGAAGAACCUUACCAGGUCUUGACAUCUUGCGCCAACCCUAGAGAUAGGGCGUUUCCUUCGGGAACGCAAUGACAGGUGGUGCAUGGUCGUCGUCAGCUCGUGUCGUGAGAUGUUGGGUUAAGUCCCGCAACGAGCGCAACCCUUGUUACUAGUUGCCAGCAUUAAGUUGGGCACUCUAGUGAGACUGCCGGUGACAAACCGGAGGAAGGUGGGGACGACGUCAGAUCAUCAUGCCCCUUAUGACCUGGGCUACACACGUGCUACAAUGGACGGUACAACGAGUCGCGAACUCGCGAGGGCAAGCAAAUCUCUUAAAACCGUUCUCAGUUCGGACUGCAGGCUGCAACUCGCCUGCACGAAGUCGGAAUCGCUAGUAAUCGCGGAUCAGCAUGCCGCGGUGAAUACGUUCCCGGGCCUUGUACACACCGCCCGUCACACCAUGAGAGUUUGUAACACCCAAAGUCGGUGGGGUAACCUUUUAGGAGCCAGCCGCCUAAGGUGGGACAGAUGAUUAGGGUGAAGUCGUAACAAGGUAGCCGUAGGAGAACCUGCGGCUGGAUCACCUCCUUUCUAAGGAA